GGGGGUGACAGGUUUCGACGAUCAGGUGUCUGACACCGGAGAAGCGUGCCGAGGACCUCAGAAGAUCUCGUUAACCAUUCUGGGAAACCAAUAACUGCCGAAAAGAAGCAGUCUGCUUUCGCCCUCGCCGCCUGAGCGAGGAGCGAAGCCGUCAGCCCGGGGCGUCCCUGACCCGGAUCCUGGCGUCGACUAGGGGACUCACCAACCACUCCGGUCACGGGAGUGCGCGGAACACCUCACAGUGACUGGGCCGCCACCGCGACGUGCCGUACGAAGCGCGGGGGCCGAGUAGCGACAGCACGGCUACGCACGUAGAAGACCGGCUCAGGUCUGAACGGACCCGGGUUCGAUUCCCGGCACCUCCACA
rnacentral:tmRNA from 1 species